CAGGAGCCCAUUUAAGCUCCUGUAUAGACGCUCCUUUUUAUUAGUCUUCUAACAACCCCACAGUAUCACCCCUUACCACAAGACCUCCCUUCAGCUUAAUCUCUCCCACUCUAGGUUCCCACGCCACCCCUAAUCCCGCUUGAAGCAGCCCUGAGAAACGAAAUAAACAGCCAUGUUGCUCACACAAAGCCUGUUUGGUGGUCUCUUCACACAGACGCGCAUGAAAUUUGGUAAUCAGUCGGCUUAGCGGCUGAAGACUGACACUGCCCGAUCGCCUCGGAAGCCCCCUAGACCAUCACGAACGCCGAGCUUUGGGUAACUCUCACAGUGAAAGGCCCCAGUCUCAUUCGACACCAGAGCAACUUAGACUGUGCCCCCAAAAAAACUUGUCAUCCCUACUAUCUUUUGUCUAGUCAUACUCCUAUUCAUCGUUCUCAACUACUCAUACAUGCCCUGCUCUUGUUUACACUGCCGGUUUACAUCGCCCAUUCUCUCUCCAUGUCACCCUCCAAAAAUUUUCGCCGCCCCAACACUUCAACACCAUUUUGUUUUAUUUUUCUUAUUAAUAUAAGAAGGCAGGAACUGUGACUUGCAGGUAUAUGCCCAGAUGGCCUGAAGUAACUGAAGAAUCACAAAAGAAGUGAAUAUGCCCUGCCCCGCCUUAACUGAUGACAUUCCACCACAAAAGAAGUGUAAAUGGCCGGUCCUUGCUUUAAGUGAUGAGGUUACCUUGUGAAAGUCCUUUACCUGGCUCAUCCUGGCUCAAAAAGCACCCCCACUGAGCACCUUGCGACCCCCCACUCCUGCCCGCCAGAGAACAGUGAUCUUCAACAUUAGAAGCUCUAAUGGGUUCUGCCCUGGUGAUGGCCCUUCCCCAGUCUGGACAACACACUUCAAGAGUAAAACUUUGCUGUAAAUAAAUGAAUCAACAAACAAAUGAAUAACAAGUGAACACAUGUGUACAGCAAAUGUUGAAACAGCCCUUUCAACUUUAAAGGUACCCCUGAAGGUCAUCUUCAGGGAGGAGUAACAGAAUGAGGGGUUCACAAAUGAAG
rnacentral:lncRNA from 1 species